rnacentral:rRNA from 1 species
UACGUAGGGGGCGAGCGUUGUCCGGAUUUAUUGGGCGUAAAGAGCUCGUAGGCGGCUUGGCAAGUCGGGUGUGAAACCUCCAGGCUCAACCUGGAGACGCCACUCGAUACUGCUAUGGCUAGAGUCCGGUAGGGGACCACGGAAUUCCUGGUGUAGCGGUGAGAUGCGCAGAUAUCAGGAGGAACACCGGUGGCGAAGGCGGUGGUCUGGGCCGGCACUGACGCUGAGGAGCGAAAGCGUGGGGAUCAAACAGG